UACGGAGGGUGCGAGCGUUAAUCGGAAUUACUGGGCGUAAAGCGCACGCAGGCGGUUUGUUAAGCUAGAUGUGAAAGCCCCGGGCUCAACCUGGGAUGGUCAUUUAGAACUGGCAGACUAGAGUCUUGGAGAGGGGAGUGGAAUUCCAGGUGUAGAGGUGAAAUGCGUAGAUAUCUGGAGGAACAUCAGUGGCGAAGGCGACUCCCUGGCCAAAGACUGACGCUCAUGUGCGAAAGUGUGGGUAGCGAACAGG
rnacentral:rRNA from 1 species